rnacentral:tRNA from 1 species
AAUAAAGUGCCUGAAAAAGGAUUAUUCUGAUAGAAUAAAUAAUGCAAAGUUUGCCUUUAUUG